UACGUAGGGGGCAAGCGUUGUCCGGAAUUAUUGGGCGUAAAGAGCGCGUAGGCGGUCCGAUAAGUCGGCUGUGAAAGUCGGGGGCUCAACCCUCGGAUGCCGGUGGAUACUGUCGGACUAGAGUACGGAAGAGGCGAGUGGAAUUCCUGGUGUAGCGGUGAAAUGCGCAGAUAUCAGGAGGAACACCGAUUGCGAAGGCAGCUCGCUGGGACGUUACUGACGCUGAGACGCGAAAGCGUGGGGAGCAAACAGG
rnacentral:rRNA from 1 species